AGUUGGACUGACGUUAAUCUGACCUUUGGACCAAGACUAACACUCCAGUAGACUUUACUGCACCAGAAAGGUGAACAAAAUUUAUGCUGCAAGACUGACAAGAUGCACACCAAUUAGACGACAAGCUAAUUCAAAUUCUUUCAAAAACAGGUCACAUUUCUACCUUUCAGGUAAGUAUUAAAGGCCUUUGUGCCGUCAUGGCAUGUGUCACUGUCUUUCUCUCGGUGUUCUGUCUGUCUCUCUCUUGCUGGUCUGUCUGUCCUGUGUAUCUGUCUCUCUCUCUCUGUCUCUCUCUCUUGCUGUCUGUCUAUCUUGUGUGUCGGGUCUCUGUCUCUCUGCUUUAACUCUUAUUGAGCUAUGCAUUAAAUGAUUCCUCCAACUUGUCUCCAUAACAGUAGUUUUCUCCCUGCAGACUUCCACCACCCACUGCUGCUGUUGCCUCUGCUAAAGGUAGCUGUAUCCUGGUUGACUGCGUCUUCAUGUGUUGGGAACAACCUGCUUCCUGCUCACAGAGACCUGGUCUGACCCGCCAUAUACAAAAGCCUGAGGCUGUCAAAAAAAGAUUGAUCUUCAUGAAGAUCGUCAAAGAACUUCCACCACCCACUGCUGCUGUUGCCUCUGCUAAAGGUAGCUGUAUCCUGGUUCACUGCGUCUUCAUGUGUUUGGUAAGAAGUGUCAUUAGACUACUAACAAUGUAAACACCUUUUAAAUGCUUGAUCUAAUUUACCCAAAUGGUUCAUCAGUUUAGGACAGAAAAUCAUUGAAUUUGACAUUGUUGGGGUCAGUAAUCUGACCUCUAAAUGUUUGGGAAACAUGCAAAAGAUCGCAAGCUCUCUGCAUGACCCAACAGCAUCGAUGUUUGAGUUAUUUCAUUGCUCAAUUUUUAAAUCAGUCAAGAUUUUAUGAGCUGGGUCUUCUUCACACAACAGAGAACAAGGUAAAUUGAGUCGACUCGUAACAUGGCAAGGCAGUUCGUCCUUCCCCUUCUUCUCUUUGUGUGAGGAAAUCUGGCCACGGAUCCUGACUGAGUGGCAUACCAUGACUGUGCAGUUUCCAAAAUCAGAUAAGGAUCCAUCUGAUUUUGUGACUCAGCUUGUCAUGAUAUGCAUUAAUUUUCCUCUGAAACAAAGGAUUGGAAUGGACAGGUUUGUAGUGUAAAUCACAUCACAUGUAGAUGGUGAAGCAUUUGUUUAAAUUGGAGUCAAGCAUUUUUAAGUGUCUGCUUUGUCAAUAUUCUGGUGCCACGUCUUGCUAAACACACGAGAAGCUCUGAAUUGUGAAACUGCUGCCUCUUGCAGAUGUUACAACAGCAAUGGCUGCUGAAAGGCUGCAGGGAGAGAACAGGAGAUCUGAGGACAGGAACGUGGAAUUGAUUUCAUGCUUAGCAAAAUGAGGGUUUCAGCAGAGGACCUUUUUGUGGCGAGGCUACGGAAUCAGAAGGAACGUUUGUCUGGGCAACUGUGAGAUUUACAGUUUUUCAUGCAGUUAACCAAGACAUUGGGGUUAGCAUCAUCCCAAAUGGCUGGUGAAGAUUGCUUGUUACUGUCAGUGUAGGACAGGAAAGGCAGGUUUAAGUUAGGGAGGGCAUCCAUCGGUGAGCUCUGACUGGAUGUGAGGACCUGUCACACUUGACCAGAGAUGAAGGCUGCAGCACAUUCCUGGAUCAGAGGACUCCAUGUUGGACACCACGACCUGGAGAAGUCCCGUCCUGGAUGGCUGUGGUGAUGACCUAGCCCAAGAAGAACCGAACCUUCUACGACGAGGACUUCGCCCAAAAUGAACCGACCUUUUCCACGGGAUGUCUUCAGAUGUUGGACCCUGCUACGUCACUCUGCCCAACAGGACAUGGUCACCGAGAUUUUUUUAAACAUUUUUUAAAUGGACUUUAAGUGUGGUGAUGCAUCACCACACUAAAAUACAGACACUGCUACUUUCAGCCUGUGAUGUUAGACAUUGAAAACUUGUAUUUAUUGCCUUCUUUAUAUCAAGUAAAACUUUUGU